rnacentral:tRNA from 1 species
CUUUCUAGGUAUGGUCCGAAAGCGCCUGACCUUGUGUCGGGAGGAGCUUCGUACCUUCCGCAGAACAUUAAGCCGCCGUCCUCAUGUCCCUUCAUCAAUAGGUUAGUCUGCGAGACGGAAUAGCGAAGCUAUUCUGCACGCAGACAAGCUCGGCCAGCGUGGCUGAGCUGCGCCAUAAGGCGCGGCUUUGCCGCGACUGACGGCGCAGCGGGUACGGGCCGGUAGCUCAGGUGGUUAGAGCGCACGCCUGAUAAGCGUGAGGUCGUAGGUUCAACUCCUACUCGGCCCACCAGUUAGUGCGGAUGGUUCUAGCCAGCGCCACGGGCAAAGCCCGUGUCGUCGGUCGUAGCUGACGCUACGCCGGCCGUGCUUGCGACUGUGCAGAAUAGCAUUGCUAUUCUGUCUCGUCGCUGGUGCAUUGGGGCCUUAGCUCAGCUGGGAGAGCGGUUGCUUUGCAAGCAUCAGGUCAUCGGUUCGAUCCCGAUAGGCUCCACCACGCACUCCUGCGAAGCGAAGCGAGCAAGACUAACCUCUAUUGAUGAAGCGAACGAGUUCCUCGUGGUUGACACGAGGUGGGACGGCGUUAGUACGCCGCUUCCGAUUUUUGACAUUGUGAAUGGUUUUUUCAAAUCGAUGCCGUGAGGCGUUGGUUCGGAAGGGAAGCGCGAGCCGCAAGGUUCGUCAGCAACUCCGACGAAGCAGCGUUCAUCACAUCAAGGCUGAGCGAUUUUCAACCACACCGAUACAAGCCACGUGACACUGCUCUGCCGAGUUUCGUGUCGUCGUUCUAGCGAACGUCGAUCCAGUGUUGUCGUUGGUGGUGUGGACUCUCAAGCGUGAGGUAA